rnacentral:rRNA from 1 species
GUGGGGAAUAUUGGACAAUGGGCGAAAGCCUGAUCCAGCCAUGCCGCGUGUGUGAAGAAGGUCUUCGGAUUGUAAAGCACUUUAAGUUGGGAGGAAGGGCAGUAAGUUAAUACCUUGCUGUUUUGACGUUACCGACAGAAUAAGCACCGGCUAACUUCGUGCCAGCAGCCGCGGUAAUACGAAGGGUGCAAGCGUUAAUCGGAAUUACUGGGCGUAAAGUGCGCGUAGGUGGUUUUGUAAGUUGGAGGUGAAAUCCCCGGGCUCAACCUGGGAACUGCCUCCAAAACUGCAUGACUAGAGUACGGUAGAGGGUAGUGGAAUUUCCUGUGUAGCGGUGAAAUGCGUAGAUAUAGGAAGGAACACCAGUGGCGAAGGCGACUACCUGGACUGAUACUGACACUGAGGUGCGAAAGCGUGGGGAGCAAACAGGAUUAGAAACCCGGGUAGUCC